AAAAAAAGAGAGGACUUGAAUGACGGAAAGUUCAAAACGAUGGAAAUAAGUUUAACCUUAGAUCCAUCGAUAAAGAUUUGCAUCACAGAAGACGUCUGAUCAUUAUGAUGAGUUAUACCGGCAGGCGUUAGAAAAACAAGCGUUACGUCACACGAGGAAGGCUUCUCGGGUUAUUUUUGCUCGGCGGACGCAGUGUCUGUUUUCAUAUGGUGACGUUGGUGUGACUUAUAUUCUAUCAGUAGAAUGAUUUUUGGUACCGAACACCAAAGAUUUGAAUCUCUGUUGAGACGUUACCGGAAUCUUUUGCAUGUUUCCCUGUUUUUUUCUUCCAUCUCUUUGGAAAGAGAUGCUAUUUUUAGAAGUGUUGAAUUUAGGUAUUUUGAUUUGUCACAUAUUCUUUUCAACGAUCCUCGUUCAAUUCGGGAAUGAAAAAGGAAACAGGCAUCGUGCAAAAAUUACGGGCUGAUGAUUCAGUUCAUCCUUCGACAACCAUACUGGAAAUAUAUAAAAUCGAUUACCGAUAAGGAUGCUUGUAUAUCGAAUAUCCUUUGUCUUCGAGCUUAUCUUUAAGAUACAAUACGUGAACUUUCAGUUUUAGCUUAUGCCAAUGAAUCAAUGCAAUGAGUCUUUUAAUUUUUUCGCUCAACCAGAAGGACACGAUGUAUCGCUAUUGUUAUUCAUUUCAAGUUUGAUAAAUAUAAUUUGUUGUGAUAUAAUG